UACGUAGGGUGCAAGCGUUGUCCGGAAUUAUUGGGCGUAAAGAGCUCGUAGGCGGCUUGUCGCGUCGACUGUGAAAACCCGCGGCUCAACCGUGUGGUCUGCAGUCGAUACGGGCAGGCUAGAGUUCGGUAGGGGAGACUGGAAUUCCUGGUGUAGCGGUGAAAUGCGCAGAUAUCGAGAGGAACACCUGCGGCGAAGGCGGGUAGCUGGGCCGACACGUGACGCUGAUGCGCGAAAGCCAGGGGAGCGAACGGG
rnacentral:rRNA from 1 species